rnacentral:rRNA from 1 species
GACGAACGCUGGCGGCGUGCUUAACACAUGCAAGUCGAACGAAGUGGCGAACGGGUGAGUAACGCGUAAUCAACCUGCCCUUCAGAGGGGGACAACAGUUGGAAACGACUGCUAAUACCGCAUACUGAAGGAGGGGAAUGCGGCUGAUUAGCUAGCUGGAGGGGUAACGGGCCACCAAGGCGAGGCUCAGGAGCCCGUCUGGGAGGAUGAACGGCCACAUUGGGACUGAGAGAAGGCCCAGGCUUCUACGGGAGGCAGCAGGGGGGAAUCUUCCGCAAUGGACGAAAGUCUGACGGAGCAACGCCGCGUGAGUGAUGACGGCCUUCGGGUUGUAAAGCUUUGUUAAUCGGGACGCGGUACCGGAAUAGAAAGCCACGGCUAACUACGUGCCAGCCGCCGCGGUAAUAC